rnacentral:SRP_RNA from 1 species
GCUAGGCAUGGUGGCGCAUGCCUGUAGUCCCAGCUACCUGGGAGGCUGAGGUGGGAGGAUGGCCUGAGCCCAGGAGGUCGAGGCUGCAGUGAGCGUGACUGCACCACUACACUCCAGCCUGGGGGACAGAGCCAGACCCUGCCUCAG